CCCAGACUCCUACGGGAGGCAGCAGUGAGGAAUACUGGUCAAUGGUCGGGAGACUGAACCAGCCAAGCCGCGUGAGGGAGGAAGGUACAGAGUAUCGUAAACCUCUUUUGUCAGGGAGCAACGCCGGCUACGUGUAGCCGGACUGAGAGUACCUGAAGAAAAAGCAUCGGCUAACUCCGUGCCAGCAGCCGCGGUAAUACGGAGGAUGCGAGCGUUAUCCGGAUUUAUUGGGUUUAAAGGGAGCGUAGAUGGGUUGUUAAGUCAGUUGUGAAAGUUUGCGGCUCAACCGUAAAAUUGCAAUUGAUACUGGCAGUCUUGAGUACAGCUGAGGUAGGCGGAAUUCGUGGUGUAGCGGUGAAAUGCUUAGAUAUCACGAAGAACCCCGAUUGCGAAGGCAGCAUGCCGGCUCCACACUGACGCUGAGGCACGAAAGCGUGGGUAUCGAACAGGAUUAGAUACCCUAGUA
rnacentral:rRNA from 1 species